rnacentral:RNase_P_RNA from 1 species
CUCGCAGGCCGGGUGACCGCGGGCCUCUCCACCAGGAGCGGCUCGAGGAAAGUCCGGACACCGCAGGGCAGGACGCUGGGGAUACCCAGGCGGCGAAAGCCGACGGAAAGUGGCACAGAAAGGAGACCGCCAGCGGCAUAGCUCAUGAGGUGCCGAAGGUAAGGGUGAAACGGUGGGGUAAGAGCCCACCAGCGCCGUGGCGACACGGCGGCUAGCCAAACCCCGUCCGGUGCAAGGCGAACAGGCUCCGUAGACGCUGCCCGCCGAGGAGCUGGGUAAGCCGCCCAGAGGGAUGGUCAUCCAAGACAGAAUCCGGCUUACAGGCCUGCUACGGAA